GCCCCAGUAGCUUAACGGUAGAGCACCUGACUUGUAAUCAGGAGGUUCCGUGUUCAAAUCACGGCUGGGGCU
rnacentral:tRNA from 1 species